rnacentral:lncRNA from 10 species
UGGACUUCCAGGGCAUGAUGGCUCACUCGAUAGAGACAGAGCACUACGGAAGGGAGCCCCAUUCCCAAGCAUGGUGUCCAAUACACUGAAAGAAUAACUGGGCUCAGUAAUGCACCUAGAGACUCAGAUUCCAGACCUGCCCACUUGCUUUACUAUCCAAAACAACCAUGACACAUGACUUCUCUGGCGGGGUGUUGGCCAAGACAAACUGAACUAUAGAAGAUCCUUGACUUGCCAACGUUCAAAUGAUGAACUUUCAAAAAUAGCGAAACUGGCUGCAGAGCAAAAGCUUUUCAGCUCUGCACAACACCAACAGAUGGCGCUAAGUGUCACCCUUGUGGAGAGCAGAGGGACCUCGGAAGGGCCUUUGGAAAUCUAAUCUGGUUUUGAGUUCUUGGUGGGAAAAUGCACCUUUAAGUUGGGGGAGUUUGAAGACGUUGCCAAGACACGUGCUGCAGCAUUUGAUCUUUUCUGCCGCACUGGCUUCUGCAAUUAACAUGCUUUCACCAGUGAAACUCAGGUUGCGGGGAGAGCAUUCUUCCAGGUUCAUGCCUGUUGUCAUGGAGUAAUUAUAAUUCAUGUCUCCGUUCACAGUGUCCUGGUUUGUAGAAUAAA